UUUCCUAGGUGCAUUGGUGUAAACAGGGUC
rnacentral:piRNA from 1 species